GGUCGGAUAGCUGAGACGGAUUAGCGUCGCUCUGAAAAGGCGAAGAGAGUGGUUCGAUACCACUUCCGACCACCA
rnacentral:tRNA from 1 species